rnacentral:rRNA from 1 species
GUUACAGCCGCCGCGGUAAUACGGAGGGUGCAAGCGUUAUCCGGAUUUACUGGGUUUAAAGGGUGCGUAGGUGGGUAGGUAAGUCAGUGGUGAAAUCUUCGAGCUUAACUCGGAAACUGCCAUUGAUACUAUCUGUCUUGAAUACUUUGGAGGUAAGCGGAAUAUGUCAUGUAGCGGUGAAAUGCUUAGAUAUGACAUAGAACACCAAUUGCGAAGGCAGCUUACUACACAGUCAUUGACACUGAGGCACGAAAGCGUGGGGAUCAAACAGGAUUAGAUACCCCGGUAGUCC